rnacentral:rRNA from 1 species
GUUUGAUCCUGGCUCAGAUUGAACGCUGGCGGCAGGCCUAACACAUGCAAGUCGAGCGGUAGAGAGAUCGAGCUUGCUUCUCUUGAGAGCGGCGGACGGGUGAGUAAUGCCUAGGAAUCUGCCUGGUAGUGGGGGAUAACGUUCGGAAACGGACGCUAAUACCGCAUACGUCCUACGGGAGAAAGCAGGGGACCUUCGGGCCUUGCGCUAUCAGAUGAGCCUAGGUCGGAUUAGCUAGUUGGUGGGGUAAUGGCUCACCAAGGCGACGAUCCGUAACUGGUCUGAGAGGAUGAUCAGUCACACUGGAACUGAGACACGGUCAAGACUCCUACGGGAGGCAGCAGUGGGGAAUAUUGGACAAUGGGCGAAAGCCUGAUCCAGCCAUGCCGCGUGUGUGAAGAAGGUCUUCGGAUUGUAAAGGACUUUAUGUUGGGAGCAAGGGUUGUAGAUUAAUACUCUGCUAUUUUGACGUUACCGACAGAAUAAGCACCGGCUAACUCUGUGCCAGCAGCCGCGGUAAUACAGAGGGUGCAAGAGUUAAUCGGAAUUACUGGGCGUAAAGCGCGCGUAGGUGGUUAGUUAAGUUGGAUGUGAAAUCCCCGAGCUCAACCUGGGAACUGCAUUCAAAACUGACUGACUA